ACGAACGCUGGCGGCGUGCUUAACACAUGCAAGUCGAACGGUGAAGCCCUUCGGGGUGGAUCAGUGGCGAACGGGUGAGUAACACGUGGGCAAUCUGCCCUGCACUCUGGGACAAGCCCUGGAAACGGGGUCUAAUACCGGAUAUUACUGUUGCGGGCAUCCGUGAUGGUGGAAAGCUCCGGCGGUGCAGGAUGAGCCCGCGGCCUAUCAGCUUGUUGGUGGGGUGAUGGCCUACCAAGGCGACGACGGGUAGCCG
rnacentral:rRNA from 1 species